rnacentral:rRNA from 1 species
UACGUAGGGUGCUAGCGUUGCUCGGAAUCACUGGGCGUAAAGGGUGCGUAGGCGGGUCUUUAAGUCAGGGGUGAAAUCCUGGAGCUCAACUCCAGAACUGCCUUUGAUACUGAGGAUCUUGAGUACGGGAGAGGUGAGUGGAACUGCGAGUGUAGAGGUGAAAUUCGUAGAUAUUCGCAAGAACACCAGUGGCGAAGGCGGCUCACUGGCCCGUAACUGACGCUGAGGCACGAAAGCGUGGGGAGCAAACAGG